rnacentral:rRNA from 1 species
GCUGGCGGCAGGCCUAACACAUGCAAGUCGAACGGAGUUAUAUUGUAGCUUGCUAUGGUAUAACUUAGUGGCAGACGGGUGAGUAAUGUAUAGGAAUCUACCUAGUAGUACGGAAUAAUUGUUGGAAACGGCAACUAAUACCGUAUACGCCCUACGGGGGAAAAAUUUAUUGCUAUUAGAUGAGCCUAUAUUAGAUUAGCUAGUUGGUGGAGUAAUAGCCUACCAAGGCAAUGAUCUAUAGCUGAUCUGAGAGGAUGAUCAGCCACACUGGAACUGAGAUACGGUCCAGACUCCUACGGGAGGCAGCAGUGGGGAAUAUUGGACAAUGGGCGAAAGCCUGAUCCAGCCAUGCCGCAUGAGUGAAGAAGGCCUUUGGGUUGUAAAGCUCUUUUAGUGAGGAAGAUAAUGACGGUACUCACAGAAGAAGUCCUGGCUAACUCCGUGCCAGCAGCCGCGGUAAUACGGAGAGGGCUAGCGUUAUUCGGAAUUAUUGGGCGUAAAGGGCGCGUAGGCGGAUUAGUAAGUUAAAAGUGAAAUCCCAAGGCUCAACCUUGGAAUUGCUUUUAAAACUGCUAAUCUAGAGAUUGAAAGAGGAUAGAGGAAUUCCUAGUGUAGAGGUGAAAUUCGUAAAUAUUAGGAGGAACACCAGUGGCGAAGGCGUCUAUCUGGUUCAAAUCUGACGCUGAGGCGCGAAGGCGUGGGGAGCAAACAGGAUUAGAUACCCUGGUAGUCCACGCUGUAAACGAUGAAUGUUAAAUAUGGGAAGUUUUACUUUCUGUAUUACAGCUAACGCGUUAAACAU